rnacentral:lncRNA from 1 species
AAUGAGUUUUAUGCUACUGGGACUGCCAAAUAGCAUAGUGGCAGGAGAGCAUGUGGAUGGCAGGAGGGCGUGUGGAUGGAGGAGAAAUCUGUGGGUGUUGGGAAGGCAUGGUGAUGGGGACAAGAAGGCAGGGCACACCAGAUUAAUCUACCUGGGCACUUACCUGCUUUCUGUGAUGGGCAUGCCCCAAACAGGAAUCAGCGGAGCCAGUACUUCAAUUGAAUUAAACCUACUUUUCUCAGUAAAGUGAAAAAUAAGAUCGAUUUUGGGAGCACAGUGCCCGUGAGAUUUUUAAAAAGUACAAAUUGUCCUAAGUCAGCACAGGUAUCCUUGUAAUGGGGACAGAGGGACAGCAGCAUUUCUCCAUCUGUCCAUGAGCAGGAGUCACCUGGGAUCCAUGAAAUGAAAUGCAGGUUCUGGUGUCACGGGUCUCGGGUAGGGCCUGAAGUACCGCAUUUCUUUUUUGUUUGUUUUGUUUUUCAAGACAGGGUUUCUCUGUAUAACAGUCCUGGCUGUCCUGGAACAACUUCUGCAUUUCUAACAAGCUUGGCCAACAUUACACACCCCUGGAGUGGCAAGGCUCCGUGACAUUCCUAGCACAUGAGAAAGCCCAACUGCCCAGGUCAGCCAAGUGCAAAGGUGAUGCCCCACCCAAUCUGCCAAAUGGAAAUCUUCUAGAUCAUUCUAUAGUUCCCAGGGGACCUCCUUGCCUAGUCUUGCCACCAACACUAACAGUAGAAAACUCCUUUUUGUUUGUCAUGCAUCUCUUCCCAUGUUAGGUCAGGGAAAGGGAUAUGAUCAACCAGGGAACCCUGGGGAGGAGUGCGGUCGGGAAUCUCAGAGGAAGCAAAAGCAACUGGAGCAGGCAAAACAGACCUUGGGAGUGUCUCACCCGGGCCUUGAAAGCAGGAAGUGCAGGCAACCUCCAGGCCAAGGUGACUGUGACCUAUGACACCACAAGCUGCUGUGGAUGCCUGCACAGCUCUUUCACUGAGCUCUGUAUUCUCCGACUCAACCCACGGAGGAUCAAAGAUAUCAGGAUUUGA